CCUAUCAUUCUCUCACCACCUAACCGCCUCCAUUUCCCUUUCCUCUCUCCUUUCCCUCAUCCAUCAGCCCAUCAAUCCUCAAAGACCUUGCACAAAUUUGUGCAAGGUGACAAGAAUCAACUUCAAAUCACCCAGUCUGUCCCCUAUGCCGCGAAUCCAGGUGGAAUAUUUCCAUUAUCAUCACCGAAAUUCAAAAUCCCCAAAUUAAAACCUGGACCUAAAUCGUGAAACUUGAAAACCCAUCAAACCUCCCAUGUUCUUUCAAAUCCAGAGCAUGCAUGGCUGCUUGUCUCUUGUUUAAUCAAUGUUAUUAUUUAUCCAUAGGUCAAACGUAGUGACCUCUGAUAUUACGGUUUGACCACCAGUCCAAAAGCUUUAACGGUCAUCCCCUCGUGCCCAAGUAAUUUCUAAGAUAUUUUUCCCUCUGUUCUUUACUGAUUUCACCUCUAUUACUAUCAUCAUCUGGAUAUAGGCACUUUCCAGUCACUAUUUUGAAUCUGAGCGGGACACUAAGUCUCGUAUGCCACUAUAAAAAAGGGAAUUCAAUGUAUUCACCUAAGACAAAUUGAAUACUAUCCGAAACACAAAAGAAAGAAAGAAAAGAGUUGAAGUUUAAGAAUUUCUCAUUAUUUUAUUUUUUUUGUGUGCAUGAAUUCAAUUUGGGCCUGCUGAGCCCAUUUGGAGCUCAAGUCCACUUUCAGAUAUACGUCAUCACGUUCCUAUCGAGGCCACUAUUCGUGUACAUUAUGUUGGGCUUGAACAUUUGCAGGCCCAUAGCGAGAGUCCAGUUCUCCUUUCCCUAUCCUUUAAUUGUACUUAUUAUUCUUUACCGCCUCUGUGUGUAUAUAUACUUUAGACAAACUAACCAUAUUGAAAGUGUCAGAUAUUUUAUUGUU